AUUGUGACACGCCUUAUGUUGACUAGAUAUGUAUUGCACUUUCAGAGGUCUUGAAGUUUCAGAAGUGAUUGAAUUAUUUCAAAUCUACAGCAGGGAAUGAGGCCAUUUCGCCCAUCAUGCCCUUUAUGUUGUUACCAUCUGAACUCAAGCUUUUGCAGCCUUCUGGUGAAUUCCUUUCCUGCUUUCAGUAUCGUUUGGGUUUCUUUCAUCUUCUGGGCAGGAAGAAAGAGUGAAAUAAACCCCAGCCCAAACUGGAAAUGUGAAAUGCCCCUUCAGGAGGGUGACACUUUCUUCGGAAUGUGCCUGGAAUAUUACUCCAGCCUUCGAGAGGGAAAAAAAGAUGUCACAUAAAAUAAAAGCGUUUUACAUCGAA